CAGUAGCCGCGGUAAUACGAAGGGUGCAAGCGUUAAUCGGAAUUACUGGGCGUAAAGCGUGCGUAGGCGGUUUGUUAAGUCUGUUGUGAAAUCCCCGGGCUCAACCUGGGAAUGGCAAUGGAUACUGGCAAGCUAGAGUGUGUCAGAGGAUGGUGGAAUUCCCGGUGUAGCGGUGAAAUGCGUAGAGAUCGGGAGGAACAUCAGUGGCGAAGGCGGCCAUCUGGGACAACACUGACGCUGAGGCACGAAAGCGUGGGGAGCAAACAGGAUUAGAGACCCGUGUAGUCCCUGUCUCUUAUAC
rnacentral:rRNA from 1 species